rnacentral:lncRNA from 1 species
ACGCCUCACCGCGAAGUAGCCCAGCCCCAGGACUGUGACCAGAGAGGGCAAGGGUCUUGCUGGACGGAAAUAGGCGGUAGCCGCAUUGCUGGCCUCCGACUUCACCAUCCUCUUGAAAAACCCAGACACAGAGUUGGCUGGGAGCUCCCCAGCCGUCCCCGCCCCCAUAUAAGAAAAGCCUGGCUAGCCGGUUUCUCAGGGCCCUGGGCGCCCGCCCAAGACCCUGGCGGACCAGUAUGCUUGCUCUCAUUGCGGAGUCUGGUCCCCUCCCCUCCGCUCCUAGCGCGCGGGAGUCGGGAUUGUGCUUGCACGACUUCCCCCGGCCCGCGGCCUGUGAGCCCAGGUCCUGGGGUGAACCGAGCGCUCGCUCGUUCGUCAGACCGUAGCGCUCCAGCGGCUGUCCUUACUGUGUAGUAGCCAAAGCUGAGGGUGAUGACUGUGAACCAGAACAGACUGCCUCGCUGAAAAGUCACUUGGAACUCUUCUGUGGCAUCUGAAGCAGAUGGACGAAGCCAAGAGGGCCGAGAGUAUCUCAGCACCUAGAAAUGGACAAGGCUGGUUAUUAGAACAAAGAUUUCGCAGGUGGUGAGUCUCAAAGGCGAAGCUGAAUGAUUUGAUAUUUCAUGAAAUUCAGAAAUAAUUUGGAGCUUUUCAAACCUGGGAUAUGGAAGAAACUGACACUCCUGUUCUCUGGGAAGGAUCUCCCAUUAACCAGUCAUAAUGAAGUAAGAACAAGAAGAUGGGGAAGAGGAAGUGUAAAACCGUGGCUUAAAUUUGCCAAGGAUAAGCUGAGUGUACUUCAGCAGUCAUUUGCACAGAAUCCUUAUCCUAAUUUUACAACCAGGGAAAAACUGGCUGGACAGUCUCUUGUCCUGUGUUUGUAAUUGAUAACUGGUUUCAAAAUAAAAGCCAGACCACCACUUAGAGAGAGACACAGAAUGUUCACUGCCAGGGAACUGCAUGAUUCCUCUGCCAAAGGCCACCCAUUUACAAGAAUCCAGGAAAACCAGGUGGAAUCUCCCAAUGAUGACCCUGAGCAGAACUUCUUGUACCCAGGAAGUUCUACUGGGUGGAGCUGGCCACUCUUCCGUGGAGACACAGGGGACUCCCAAUUAACAUGAUGGCUCAAAUAACUGUAGCCUUAUGGAUUAAAAGGAAACUAAGCUGUGAUUUGGAGUAUCCAGGUGAUACAGAAAAUGGCCCUUGUCGAUGUAGAUCAGCAUUAUUUCCUUAUCCUUCUGCAUCUCCUCCUCAGUAUUCUGAAAGGGACAAGCCUGAGAUGGGGGAAAGCCAGCAUGCAAGGCCCUCCCCUUUGUGCUGUGUUCAUGGUGUGCACGGAGAGAGGCAGCAGCAGGAGGAACAGAAAGGUUAUUUUCUUUACUGACUCUUUCAAGGACAUCAGCAGAAUGGUUGGGAAUGUCAUCAUGAGCAGCCUCAGCCUCAGAAUUACCAGGAGAAGCUGGUCUUCCAGGAUCAGGUUCUAAUGUAUAUGAGUCACAGGAUUUAGGGAAGCAGGCACUUUCCCUUCAGUCCCAGCAGCAUGGUUGAUGUUCCCAAGUAAUGGAGAGUCCCUGUGCUCUCAGUUGUGGCACACACCUUUGCAAAUAGUGAUCAGAUCUCCACAAACGCCUCUUGGGUAAGAUAUGCAGCAACAUAGCUGGCUGCAGAGCAACCCAGUUCCCAAAUCCAGCAGCUCUUGGAUGAGAAGUCUGCAAGUGUUUACUGCUGGGACCAGGACUGUGUUUCUAGGAAAUGGUGCUAGGCUUCAGAGAGCAUCAUCCACAGGUCAUCCCACAACCAUCCACACAGAAGCCUGAGGAAAAGGGCUCUGCAGAGCUUGCACAUAAAGAUGCUGAACUCAGGAAGGCUCUGUGAGCUGCUGGUCUCUUCUGGUAGGGCAGCAGUGUCCUGAGAAGGUGGAGCUAGAGUAUGGAGAACAAAACUAACAAGCACCAAGGCAGCAAGCAAGGCAACCCCCAAAUGACAGCAGUUGCCAAAUCCAAAGCAAUCUGUGCUUCAGAAGACAGAGGCUCUGCACAGUCCCUGUCUCAGACAUUGUCUCCUCCUUAGAAGAUACCUAACAACAGCACUGUGGGAGGCUGAGGUGGGUGGAUCACCAGGUCAGGAGAUCAAGACCAUCCUUGAUCUUUAGUAGAGACGGUGAAACACUGUCUCUACUAAAAAAUACAAAAAAAAAUUAGCUAGCCGUGGCGGCGGGCACCUGUAGUCUCAACUAUUUGGGAGGCUGAGGCAGGAGAAUGGCCUGAACCCGGGAGGCAGAGCUUGCAGUGAGCUGAGAUUGCGCCACUGCACUCCAGCCUGGGCAACAGAGUGAGACUCCAUCUCAAAAAAAAAAAAAAAAAAAAAAAAAAAAGAUACCUAACAAGCAGUACAAGAAUAUGAAGGACCCCACUGCCCAGACUUUGUAUGGAGGGGUGUCUAAGGUGGCUACAGCAAAGCUGUCAUCUCCAUCGACCGGGACAGCAUCUCCAGCCAUGAUGUGUGGCCUGCUGGAACAGCAGCCAUGUGUCCUUUCACAGACAGCCCACCAAAGCUCUGACUGUGAAGGACAUCCCAACAUCAGCCUAGCCUGCAUACACUUAAGGCAUAGAAUCACCUGAGGCUUCUCCGUUGAAGACAGGGACUCCCGAUGGAGUUGCAGCCCCAGCUUUGCACUGUAAAGAGCCCCAGGGGGCUUCUGUGCUAGAGCAGGUGUGCAGACCCCUCCUCACCCCCUUCACUGAGAGCUGCUGCCUGGAACCAGUGUUUUGACUGAGUCACCUCUGGACGUGGGCCCACAAGAUCUGAGAGUGCCCAGACGAGAAGUUGAAUGCCUUGUGUUGACCUGAGUGUUUGGAAAAAAGCCCCAAACUUUGAAACAAUUUUCAUAAUUUUGAGCUUCAGGAUGUGGAAUCACUUCUCAAGUAUUCUGGAGUUCUGUCCAUCAGAGCGGGUCCUGCCAAUGCUGCCCUGUGCAGCGCUUCAGGCUGCAUCCCUCCCACUAGGGGGCGCCUUUCACAUAGUGGCGCCUGCCUUCUAGAGGAGCAACAUUUCCUGAACUGCAGGGUUCCCUCGGGGCUUUGUGUAAAACACAUCCACUGCAUAGAAUUUGUGUUAUUUCCAUUUUGUUUUCUUGACAAUAUUUAAUUAAUUACAAAAUGAUGUAUGUUAUGAUAGUUUAAGCAAUACAGAGAGUAACCAAACAAAAGCUUGGUCUUUUAUUCUCGCACUCUGAAUUUACAGUCCUGAAAACUCUAAACUCAUCAUAUAAUCUAUAUUGUAAAGACUUUGAUAAUCCCUUCCCUUGCCUUUCCUUUCCCCAUUCCCCCUUCCCCUUCCUUCUUCUACAUUGUAUGAUGUUUUUCAUAUUUACAUUCUAACCAAUUGUGUCAUGUGAUACUAAUUUGCAGAAUAAAGCAUGUUUUGCACAUAUUUCCAAGUCAUAUAACAUGCAGACAUACUUCAUUUUGUAAAUAUCUUCCUUCUCUUACUAUAAGAUUGAGAAUAGGUAAAGAGCAACUCUCCAAUGCAGGUGAUGAGUGUGAUUUGCACUAUCACUUUGGACAGCCAAUUGGAAUAUUUAUUGAAGUCAUAGAUGCCCAGCAAUUCUGUUACUGGAUGUGUCUCAUAGACAAACUCUUGGACAUUCUUAUAGAACACUGAGCCCAAAGAAGACACAUCAUAUAAUGUAAGAAGCUAGGACAGCUUAAAAAAAAAAGGCCUAGAUCUGUGUAAUUGUGUGAGUGUUCUCGGACAUACUGUUUGUAAAAAAUCGAGUUAUUGAGUAGUUUGAUAAUAUGAUAAUCAUGAAAAUAAAGGAUAAAGCAGCGAGUAAAAAAAAAAAAAAA